CUCUCUCUCUCUCUCUCUCUCUCUUCCUCUUCAGUUUCUGAUUAUGGAUUAGACUUUUUCCUCUUUUUUUUAUCUUUUUAUUUUGUUAAUUUUUCUUGGUAACCUUGAAACUUCCAACUUACCUAAACUCAAUUGCAAAAUUUCUCGAACCUUCCACUCGCCGGCUAGGAUCCCGAGACCGGCGUGAUCUGCGGCCCUGAUUCAGUCAAAAUUCAACCGAUUCAUGUGGAAGCGGGAGCACCUGAUCAUCCCUCUGCUGUAUCAACAACCAGCAGCAUGUAGCAUUUAUUCAAGUUUGUGGUGAAUUGCAGCAACGGCAC
rnacentral:misc_RNA from 1 species